rnacentral:rRNA from 1 species
GAGUUAUCUGAACCUUCGGGGAACGAUAACGGCGUCGAGCGGCGGACGGGUGAGUAAUGCCUAGGAAAUUGCCCUGAUGUGGGGGAUAACCAUUGGAAACGAUGGCUAAUACCGCAUGAUGCCUACGGGCCAAAGAGGGGGACCUUCGGGCCUCUCGCGUCAGGAUAUGCCUAGGUGGGAUUAGCUAGUUGGUGAGGUAAGGGCUCACCAAGGCGACGAUCCCUAGCUGGUCUGAGAGGAUGAUCAGCCACACUGGAACUGAGACACGGUCCAGACUCCUACGGGAGGCAGCAGUGGGGAAUAUUGCACAAUGGGCGCAAGCCUGAUGCAGCCAUGCCGCGUGUGUGAAGAAGGCCUUCGGGUUGUAAAGCACUUUCAGUCGUGAGGAAGGUAGUGUAGUUAAUAGCUGCAUUAUUUGACGUUAGCGACAGAAGAAGCACCGGCUAACUCCGUGCCAGCAGCCGCGGUAAUACGGAGGGUGCGAGCGUUAAUCGGAAUUACUGGGCGUAAAGCGCAUGCAGGUGGUUUGUUAAGUCAGAUGUGAAAGCCCGGGGCUCAACCUCGGAAUAGCAUUUGAAACUGGCAGACUAGAGUACUGUAGAGGGGGGGUAGAAUUUCAGGUGUAGCGGUGAAAUGCGUAGAGAUCUGAAGGAAUACCGGUGGCGAAGGCGGCCCCCUGGACAGAUACUGACACUCAGAUGCGAAAGCGUGGGGAGCAAACAGGAUUAGAUACCCUGGUAGUCCACGCCGUAAACGAUGUCUACUUGGAGGUUGUGGCCUUGAGCCGUGGCUUUCGGAGCUAACGCGUUAAGUAGACCGCCUGGGGAGUACGGUCGCAAGAUUAAAACUCAAAUGAAUUGACGGGGGCCCGCACAAGCGGUGGAGCAUGUGGUUUAAUUCGAUGCAACGCGAAGAACCUUACCUACUCUUGACAUCCAGAGAACUUUCCAGAGAUGGAUUGGUGCCUUCGGGAACUC